AGAAGGUCUUGAUGGUAAGGUAUGUCUUUUUGCUGAUGAUACUAAGAUAUGUAACAGGGUUGAUGUUCCAGGAGGGAUAAACCAAAUGGCAAAUAAUUUAGGUAAACUAGAAAAAUGGUCAGAAUUGUGGCAACUGACAUUUAAUGUGGAUAAGUGCAAGAUAAUGCAUCUUGGACGUAAAAACCCAAGGGCAGAGUACAGAAUAUUUGAUAGAGUCCUAACCUCAACAUAUGAGGAAAGGGAUUUAGGGGUGAUUAUUUCUGAUGACUUAAAGGUAGGCAGAC